GACGAACGCUGGCGGCGUGCUUAACACAUGCAAGUCGAACGGAAAGGCCUCUUUCGGGGGGUACUCGAGUGGCGAACGGGUGAGUAACACGUGAGUAACCUGCCCUUGACUUUGGGAUAACUUCAGGAAACUGGGGCUAAUACCGGAUAGGAGCUCCUGCUGCAUGGUGGGGGUUGGAAAGUUUCGGCGGUUGGGGAUGGACUCGCGGCGUAUCAGCUUGUUGGUGGGGUAGUGGCUUACCAAGGCUUUGACGGGUAGCCGGCCUGAGAGGGUGACCGGCCACAUUGGGACUGGGAUACGGCCCAGACUCCUACGGGAGGCAGCAGUGGGGAAUAUUGCACAAUGGGUGGAAGCCUGAUGCAGCAACGCCGUGUGCGGGAUGACGGCCUUCGGGUUGUAAACCGCUUUCGCUCAUGACGAAGCUUUGUGUGACGGUAGUGGGUAAAGAAGCACCGGCUAACUACGUG
rnacentral:rRNA from 1 species